rnacentral:rRNA from 1 species
CAGCAGCCGCGGUAAUACGUAGGGUGAAAGCGUUAAUCGGAAUUACUGGGCGUAAAGCGUGCGCAGGCGGUUAUAUAAGACAGAUGUGAAAUCCCCGGGCUCAACCUGGGAACUGCAUUUGUGACUGUAUAGCUAGAGUACGGCAGAGGGGGAUGGAAUUCCGCGUGUAGCAGUGAAAUGCGUAGAUAUGCGGAGGAACACCGAUGGCGAAGGCAAUCCCCUGGGCCUGUACUGACGCUCAUGCACGAAAGCGUGGGGAGCAAACAGGAUUAGAUACCCGGGUAGUCCCUGUCUCUUAUAC